rnacentral:rRNA from 1 species
AGCGAACGCUGGCGGCAGGCCUAACACAUGCAAGUCGAGCGCCGUAGCAAUACGGAGCGGCAGACGGGAGAGUAACACGUGGGAACGUACCCUUCAGUACGGAACAACCAAGGGAAACUUUGGCUAAUACCGUAUACGUCCGUAAGGAGAAAGAUUUAUCGCUGAAGGAUCGGCCCGCGUCUGAUUAGCUAGUUGGUGAGGUAACGGCUCACCAAGGCGACGAUCAGUAGCNGGUCUGAGAGGAUGAUCAGCCUCACUGGGACUGAGACACGGCCCAGACUCCUACGGGAGGCAGCAGGUGGGGAAUAUUGGACAAUGGGCGCAAGCCUGAUCCAGCCAUGCCGCGUGGGUGAUGAAGGCCUAGGGUUGUAAGCUCUUUUGUGCGGGAAGAUAAUGACGGUACCGCAAGAAUAACGCCCCGGCU